GAUGAACGCUGGCGGCGUGCCUAACACAUGCAAGUCGAGCGAUUCUCUUCGGAGAAGAGCGGCGGACGGGUGAGUAGCGCGUGGGUAACCUGCCCUGUACACACGGAUAACAUACCGAAAGGUAUGCUAAUACGAGAUAAUAUGCUUUUAUCGCAUGGUAGAAGUAUCAAAGCUUUUGCGGUACAGGAUGGACCCGCGUCUGAUUAGCUAGUUGGUAAGGUAACGGCUUACCAAGGCGACGAUCAGUAGCCGACCUGAGAGGGUGAUCGGCCACAUUGGAACUGAGACACGGUCCAAACUCCUACGGGAGGCAGCAGUGGGGAAUAUUGCACAAUGGGCGAAAGCCUGAUGCAGCAACGCCGCGUGAGCGAUGAAGGCCUUCGGGUCGUAAAGUUCUGUCCUCAAGGAAGAUAAUGACGGUACUUGAGGAGGAAGCCCCGGCUAACUACGUG
rnacentral:rRNA from 1 species